AACGUUACCAAAGUGUUGCCUCGGCGGGAACUCAUGCCCCGGGUGCGUCGCAGCCCCGGACCAAGGCGCCCACCGGAGGAAUCAACCAAAACUCUUAUUGUAUACCCCCUCGCGGGUUUUUUUUUAUAAUCUGAGCCUUCUCGGCGCCUCUCGUAGGCGUUUCGAAAAUGAAUCAAAACUUUCAACAACGGAUCUCUUGGUUCUGGCAUCGAUGAAGAACGCAGCGAAAUGCGAUAAGUAAUGUGAAUUGCAGAAUUCAGUGAAUCAUCGAAUCUUUGAACGCACAUUGCGCCCGCCAGUAUUCUGGCGGGCAUGCCUGUCCGAGCGUCAUUUCAACCCUCGAACCCCUCCGGGGGGUCGGCGUUGGGGAUCGGCCCUCCUUCACGGGGGCCGACUCCGAAAUACAGUGGCGGUCUCGCCGCAGCCUCUCCUGCGCAGUAGUUUGCACACUCGCAUCGGGAGCGCGGCGCGUCCACAGCCGUUAAACACCCAACUUUCUGAAAUGUUGACCUCGGAUCAGGUAGGAAUACCCGCUGAACUUA
rnacentral:rRNA from 1 species